rnacentral:rRNA from 1 species
AUUGAACGCUGGCGGCAUGCUUUACACAUGCAAGUCGAACGGUAACAGGGAGCUUGCUCCGCUGACGAGUGGCGAACGGGUGAGUAAUGCAUCGGAACGUACCCAGUCGUGGGGGAUAACGUAGCGAAAGUUACGCUAAUACCGCAUACGUCCUGAGGGAGAAAGCGGGGGACCGUAAGGCCUCGCGCGAUUGGAGCGGCCGAUGUCGGAUUAGCUAGUUGGUAGGGUAAAGGCCUACCAAGGCGACGAUCCGUAGCGGGUCUGAGAGGAUGAUCCGCCACACUGGGACUGAGACACGGCCCAGACUCCUACGGGAGGCAGCAGUGGGGAAUUUUGGACAAUGGGCGAAAGCCUGAUCCAGCCAUGCCGCGUGAGUGAAGAAGGCCUUCGGGUUGUAAAGCUCUUUCGGUGGGGUAAGGAAAGUUAGACACGGGUUAAGUACCCUGUGUAGAUGACGGUA